rnacentral:rRNA from 1 species
GACGAACGCUGGCGGCGUGCUUAACACAUGCAAGUCGAACGGAAAGGCCUUUUCGGAGGUACUCGAGUGGCGAACGGGUGAGUAACACGUGGGUGAUCUGCCCUGCACUCUGGGAUAAGCCUGGGAAACUGGGUCUAAUACCGGAUAGGACCGCACUUUAGUGUGUGUGGUGGAAAGUUUUUUCGGUGUAGGAUGAGCCCGCGGCCUAUCAGCUUGUUGGUGGGGUAAUGGCCUACCAAGGCGGCGGCGGGUAGCCGGACUGAGAGGUUGGCCGGCCACAUUGGGACUGAGAUACGGCCCAGACUCCUACGGGAGGCAGCAGUGGGGAAUAUUGCACAAUGGGCGCAAGCCUGAUGCAGCGACGCCGCGUGGGGGAUGACGGCCUUCGGGUUGUAAACUCCUUUCGCCAGGGACGAAGCGUUUUGGGACGGUACCUGGAGAAGAAACACCGGCUAACUACGU